CAACGAACAAAAGUCACUUGCUGGUGCUACUAAAGCUAGAGAGAAGGUGGGAGUUGGCUCCAAAGUGAUAGGUUUUGGGAAAGAAAAUAAUACAGGUGAAAUUCAUCUGAACCAGAAAUGCAAUGGAAAAGGCAAGGCUGCUGAAGGCAUGGUUGCGGGCAGAAAAGGGCUAAACCAGAGUGUAUCUGCAAAGGGUGGCAAAACCGAGACGGUUGCUCCCAAGGGAAGAGUUGGUAAUCAAAGGAGAGGGGAAAACUCCACUAGUUCGAUUCCAAAGGUCCAUUUUCGAUGAGGGAACAACUCCUAAGGAAUUCAAGAAUCCUUUCCGAAUCUAUCUUUCACUCUAUGGUUUUUCAAACAAGCUUUCAGUUCUCAUUUCUGGAAUCC